GAAAUCCCGCACCUAAUGGGAGCGCCAGCUGGGGCUGUGUCAUGAGUAUCCAGGCAGGAGGAGGUGACACAGGUUGGGAGAGAGACAAGUGAAACCCAGAGAGAUGGGGAUUCCCCAACACUGGGCUUCCCCACCCCAGACACCGCCCUGGGGCCUGAGAGGCGACCCAGGGACCUGGGACCUUGCCCGACCCCUCACCUACUGCACAGAGCGCUCUUUGUCGCACUGUCCCCCUGAGCAGAAGCCCAGGAGCUGCGUGAGUCAGUGAUUCUCAAACAUUCUGUUUACAGGGUAUCUACACAGUCUCAUAGCUGAUUGAGGAUCCCAAGGAUCAUUUUGUGUCUGUGGGUUAUCUCUAUCAGUACUUACCGUAGUAGGAAUAAAACAGGUUUAAAAAUUCAUUGAUUCAUUUAGAAUCAUAUUAAUAAUCCAUCGCAUGAAAGCAGAAAUACUGCUUUUAUGCAAAAUAACUACUUCUACAAAUAAAAACCAUAGCGAGAAAAGUGAUGUUCUUGCAUUUUACAUCUUUUCAAGUCCCUUUCUUGCUGUCUCCUUAGAAGACCCCUGGCUGUUCAGAUUUGCUUCUGCCUUUAUUGUGUUGUUUUGGUUGAAGUGUAGGAAAAUAUUUACAACCUUACACAAAUAUGGGAGACUAGUAUGUUCCAUAACCUUCUCAGAUCAUUAUGGCUAUUCAUCUUAGGUACUAUAUCCAAAUGACACAAGUUGUACUUUCUCUAAGCUCUUUGUAAAGUGGAACUUGUAAGAGUAUCAUUGACUCUGUCCUCUGAUGCAUUAAAAUCCACAGGCCCAUCUUGUACCCAGAAUGGACCUUGUACUAAUGCAUGAUUUUUUAAAAAGUAAUGUGUUUUUUAACUAAGUUAUGUAUGUGUUCCAGUGUUGAUGAGGUUAAAACUGAAUUAUCAAAAGUCAUAUUUGUUUUAAUAUUACCACAGAUCCCAAUAUAUCAGUAGUGGGAAGCUGUCAAGUUUAUUGGUACAUCACAAGGUUCCCAAGAUUCUGAUUUUUCUCUUGAGCGCUUACAUUUGAUCAAGGCAACAAGUACUCUCAGCUGUCGUAUAUGAGUUGAUUUUCAUGAAAGGUUAACUUCAUGUUCAUUUACCAGACGCUGUAGGUCAGUUGUCCUAGUCUAAAUAAUCCAAGUUCUGUGUCGUUCAUUACUUUGGGUAAAAAUGGCGUUCUGUAAAAAAAAAAAAAAAAAAAGAGAGAGAGAGAGAGAGAGAAAGAGGCAGUUAAUUUUUACACAAAUUAUUUUCUUUGGGGUUUAUGUACGUAGAAGUGCUGUACAUCCCAUGCUAUCUUAUAUGACAUGUUUAAAUGUAGAUUUGAGAAUAAUUACUAAAGAUGAUAAUUUCUAGUGCACUAAUCAGCGUGUUUGAAUGUGAUACUAGUUUUUUGUCCUACUUUUGUUUUUGAGGUAUUUUAUUUGCAUGUAGGUAUUAUCUCCCUAGAAAAAGAAUCUCAGGAUUUCCCUCAUGUGAGUCUUUGUCUUGCUUCUUCAUUGUCCAUGAUGCCAGCUGAGGUUGUCAGGACAAUGAAACCAAACUGGAGGGAUGGGGACAUAUUCUUUGCUAUUUUGGUAGAUCUUUGAGUUAUACAUCAAAUCUACACUGCUCACUUCCCUCAGGUUUAACCUGCCCAUAAGGUUCACAGCAGUAUUCCCAGCUCUGUAAUCAGCAGUGAUUUCAAAUUCCCAAUAUAACCUUUGUCAUUACAGUUAGAAAUAGGAUGAUGACUUUGGAGCAUGGCCUAAGAAGACCUGCCUUUGCCUCUCUUCUAGGCAUUAAUACUCUUAAGAGCAUCUGCUGGGACACUCAUGGGACCAUUAUGGUGGCUUGGGAAAAUGGCAGAAAGAGUGUUUUUUUUUUUUUUUUUUAAUGGAAGUGGUGAAGAAUAACAAUUGCCCUGUGGACCCAUCACCUCCAUUCUUGCUAAGUUUUACCUCAGUGCGAGUGUCAACGAUGUGAAAAGGCAAAUAAUGUCUAAGUGAUGUUAUGAAAAUAGUGUUAACUUCAUGGAUGCUGUGCAAGGGCCUCUGUGACUUCAGGUGUUCCCCAGACCACACUUUGAGAACGGCUGCUCUGAAAACCCUGAGUCUCCCACUGGUCCAGGCUCUGGCCUCCUCUUCACUCAGCAGAAUCCCUUUCCCUGAGCUGCACUUCCUGCCUCUGAAAACUCAGCUCUGACUCUAGCCCCUGAGUGCAUCUAGAAGAGAUCUCAUCUCCUGGAAAUGUGAUGGCAGAGAGGGUCCCCAGUCUGGGAAGGGAGGUGGAGGGACAGGGAUUUCCCUUUUGUAACUUGGGGCAGUUUGCCCCUGAAGGCACCAGACCCAGGCAUAACCAACUUUGAUUUUGUGACCCGCCAGCUGCAUAUGUAUUCACAUCCCAGACAGAAAUCUGAUGUUGUCUGUAAGAGAAAUCAUGUUGGUCUUCUCCGUUUACAUGUGUCUCAUGCCUCUGAUUCGAGACCCACAAAGCACGAAGCACAGCACCUUCCAAUGCAACAGUCUAUGUGGAAGGAAUUGUUCUGUAUCUGCGCUGUCCAGUAUGGUGGCCACGAGAUGCAUGUGGCUCUUGAUAUGCAGGUGACACUUGAAAUGGGGCUGGUGUGCUGAGCAGUUGCAUUUAAAAAAAAAAGAUUUUAUUUAUUUAUUUGACAGAGAGAGAUCACAAAUAAGCAGAGAGGCAGGCAGAGAGAGAGAGAGAGAGGGGAGGAAGCAGGCUCCCCACUGAGCAGAGAACCCGAUGUGGGGCUCGAUCCCAGGACCCUGAGAUCAUGACCUGAGCCGAAGGCAGAGGCUUUAACCCACUGAGCCACCCAGGCGCCCCAGCAGUUGCAUUUUUAAUUGUUUUGAACGAAUAUAAAUUUAAAUAGCCACAGGUGGCUCAUAGCUACUAUUCAGACAGUACCUAUUCUAGAACACUCUUAGUUGUCAGGAUCCUCCUCAAAGAGGAUACUGUGUGACUCAUAAGUAUACACAUAUUAAAUUUAUCUUCAAAUUGAAGACAUGGAUUAUCUGUGUGGGUCUGAAACAUAUCAUAUGCUUAAAAUACAGCACCUAAGUGUAAUUACCAUGCAUUGUAACAGCUGGUGUACAGACAUGAACCAAAACAUGAUGUAUCACAUCUAGGUCAUUAUAUGUUCAAAAAUGCCCAUCCCUGGAGCUCUUUGUUGCCUCUAUUACUUGGGUGUUUUGGGUCUUGUCUGUGUUCAUCUGAUAAAUAGAAGCAGACACAUAAGUCUUCACCAAGCCCGGGUGAGAGAUUGAACACACAUGUAUCAGAUACCUCAUAGGCUCUGUACGUGCUUGUAAACAUCAUAAAGCAGAAGAUGGACAUCUUAGAUUCCAUUACGUUAUUAUCUUUUACCUCUGUCUCCUCCCCAUACUUUUGCUCAAAUUCAAACAAUUCUGUGUUUCCCUUCACCCUUAAAGCCCUGUGCUCUUCAUUUCUACUGAGAUAGAAAUAUACAUGAAAUGCUUACAAUUUUGAGAUGAAGAAAUUCUCUAAGCACGGCCCAGUGAUGAAAACCCAUCAAGAAAAACUUGAAAUAUCUGCAUGUCAACCACAUACUCACCAAGAUACAAACACAUGUCAUGAUCAAACUAAAAGACACAAACACAAUCUUGACAGUCAGAAGGGUAACAUUCAUUAUUGUUCUUCAACCAAGACCACCAGGAGCUCCUGCAGGCCCUCAAGUUGGAUCUAUUACCUUUUGCAGUGAGAGAGAACGUGCCCCUUUGGGGGCCAUGGGGCAUCUUAAUAUGAAGGUGUUGGAUCCUAAGGGACAUGGCUUUGGAUGGGAGUUUUGGAGAGGACCCAUGCAAGUUGGGGCUCACUCCUGACUGCAUGUUGUCAAGAGUGUCCUUGUCUGAUGCUGAUGUUCCAUGAGGUGACUGACUUAUGUCCUACAGGAGAAGAAUAUGGCCAAGGGGUAGACAUUAGACAUCUUCUGACCACACUGAGCCCGACUGUCAGUGUCAGACCAGCUCCCGAUGUUGAGGGCUACUGGCUCUUCUCUGUUAAAUUCCAUAUUUUAAAAUAGCUACAAUUGAUUCAAAACAUAAUUAUAGAAUCGGUAUUUCUCUUUUCCUUGGGUAAAUACCAAAGAGUGGAAUUGUUGGGUUAUAUGGCGAAUCACUAUGUUGUACACCUGAAAUGAGCAUAACGUUGUUUGUCAAAUGCCAUCAAAGAAUGAAAAAAGAAAAAGAAAGAAAAGAAUAAAAAUGUUAGAAAACAAUCUGGGAAGUUGGAAAUGAAACACCAAACCAAUGUAUUUGUAAUAAGAAAACAUAAACAAAUAUGAGAAUGUGGAAUAAGUAAUAGGAAUAAAGCUAUAAAAUAAAUUUAUGUACUUGGCAAAGAUGAAAGUAA